CCUCCAGGAAUACUGUCCAUGUAAACGAUGCAUAUGGAACUAGCAAGAUGCUUGCAGUACUUGACAUCAAACAUCUUGCUGUCCUAAUUGUGCAACGAUUGAUGUGAAUCAGCGUGCAGUGCUCUUCUAUGGUGUUACGUGAUUGUGUGUCCAUAAAGAAAGAAGAGAUAUUGAAGCAGAGAGAAGAAAGACCAGCUAAGGUCGGUUCUCUCCCUUAUUGAAUAAAAUGUGAGAAGAAAAAUGAAAAAUAAAUGAAGAAACUCUACUGAUGUUCUUAUUAAUCCUUGUUUUGGAUUAUAUGCUUGCAAGGCCCUAAUAUGAGUGUUGUUUCAUGAAAAUACAGAUUGUAAGCUAUUUAUUUUUAUGAUACGUUCAUGGAUGUGAUCCUUACUUUUAUGAUUUUUGUUGUUGUUAAGGUUGUGUUUGUAUGUCUCCAUGCGCUCAGGUACUUUUGUAUGUCUAGAGUUAUUUGUUAUUUUUCUCUAAUAUCUGUAAGAAGUUGCUUUAAGAUAUUACUGAUUUAGCGACAGAGUUUGUUACACUGUUGAUCUCCUUUUAUAUCAUGAUGCAAAUGCGAGAUCAUCCUCAUGUCAUGCCAUGAUCAUAUAAAAAUUUGUCAAGUAAAUUCAUUUAGUCAAUUGCUCUCUUUCCUUAAUUCAUUAUUUCUCUCAUUUUGUGGUGUUUAAGUGUGUCUGCAUACUGUAGAUGUGCUAGCUUCUAUCUGCUUGAACCAGAUCAUUGACGCAUUUGUAUAAUGUCCUGAGAAGUUAGAUGAAAUAUGUUAUCAUGGAUUCAUCAGCUCGUGAUCAACUAGCACUCAAGUGGCAGUGGGCAAACAAAGGGACAUGCAAUGGCAAUUUAGAGGAUGUAAUAGAUAUAUCCCAUUGGAAAAUAUCUUCUCGAGUUAAAUCUUUUAUCUUCUAACUGUGCAAACAAUAAGAACAACGAUGCCAUACAUAUGCACAGGCAUCAUUCAUCUAGUAUAUUUACCAGUCUUAGCUAAAGAUCAUUCGGUAAUAAAAAGAGGUCAAUUCCAUAUGAUA